rnacentral:rRNA from 1 species
UACGGGGGGAGCAAGCGUUGUUCGGAUUUACUGGGCGUAAAGGGCGCGUAGGCGGCCACCGCAAGUCGACUGUGAAAUCUCCGGGCUUAACCCGGAAAGGUCAGCCGAUACUGCGGGGCUAGAGUGCAGAAGGGGCAACUGGAAUUCUCGGUGUAGCGGUGAAAUGCGUAGAUAUCGAGAGGAACACCUGCGGCGAAGGUGGGUUGCUGGGCUGACACUGACGCUGAUGCGCGAAAGCUAGGGGAGCGAACAGG